GACGAACGCUGGCGGCGUGCUUAACACAUGCAAGUCGAACGCUGAAGCUCAGCUUUUGUUGGGUGGAUGAGUGGCGAACGGGUGAGUAACACGUGAGUAACCUGCCUCCUUCUUUGGGAUAACGCCCGGAAACGGGUGCUAAUACUGGAUAUUCACUGGUCUUCGCAUGGGGGUUGGUGGAAAGGGUUUUUCUGGUGGGGGAUGGGCUCGCGGCCUAUCAGCUUGUUGGUGGGGUGAUGGCCUACCAAGGCUUUGACGGGUAGCCAGCCUGAGAGGGUGACCGGUCACAGUGGGACGGAGAUACGGCCCAGACUCCGACGGGGGGCAGCAGUGGGGAAUAUUGCAGAAUGGGCGAAAGCCUGAUGCAGCGACGCCGCGUGAGGGAUGGAGGCCUUCGGGUUGUGAACCUCUUUCGCUCAUGGUCAAGCCGCAACAAUGGUUGUGGUGAGGGUAGUGGGUAAAGAAGCGCCGGCUAACUACGUG
rnacentral:rRNA from 1 species